rnacentral:rRNA from 1 species
AACCUCCGCAAUGUGAGAAAUCGCGACGGGGGGAUCCCAAGUGCCAUUCUUAACGGGAUGGCUUUUCAUUAGUGUAAAGAGCUUUUGGAAUAAGGGCUGGGCAAGACCGGUGCCAGCCGCCGCGGUAACACCGGCAGCUCUAGUGGUAGCAGUUUUUAUUGGGCCUAAAGCGUCCGUAGCCGGUUUAAUAAGUCUCUGGUGAAAUCCUGUAGCUUAACUGUGGGAAUUGCUGGAGAUACUAUUAGACUUGAGACCGGGAGAGGUUAGAGGUACUCCCAGGGUAGAGGUGAAAUUCUGUAAUCCUGGGAGGACCGCCUGUUGCGAAGGCGUCUAACUGGAACGGUUCUGACGGUGAGGGACGAAAGUUAGGGGCGCGAACCGGAUUAGAUACCCGGGUAGUCCUAACUGUAAACGAUGCGGAAUUGGUGUUGGGGUGGCUUUGAGCUGCUCCAGUGCCGAAGGGAAGCUGUUAAGUCCGCCGCCUGGGAAGUACGGUCGCAAGGCUGAAACUUAAAGGAAUU